UCCUGGUGGAUCAGUUGGUAAAGAUCUCCUGCCUGCAAGGUAGGAGACCCAGGUUCAAUCCCUGGGUCAGGAA
rnacentral:tRNA from 1 species